rnacentral:lncRNA from 1 species
GUGGAGAUUUGUAGUAGUAUGGUGGUGAGACGUAAUGUGGGGGUGGUGGUGGAGAUUUGUAGUAGUAAGGUGGUGGAGGAGAUGGUGAAGGUGGUGGUGGAGACUUGUAGUAGUAAGGUGGUGGUGGUGAGGGUGAUGGAGGUGGUGGAGACUUGUAGUAGUAUGGGGGUUGUUCUUCAUGCUUUGGUGGUGGUGGUGGGGACUUGUAGUAGUAAGGAGGUGGUGGAGAUGGUGAAGGUGGUGGUGGAGAUUUAUAGUAGUAAGGUGGUGGUGGUGAGGGUGAUGGAGGUGGUGGAGACUUGUAGUAGUAUGGGGGUUGUUCUUCAUGCUUUGGUGGUGGUGGUGGAGAUUUGUAGUAGUAUGGAGGAGGUGGUGAUGGAGACGGAGGUGGUGGGGACUUGUAGUAGUAAGGAGGAGGUGGUGAUGGAGAUGGAG